GAUGAACGCUAGCUACAGGCUUAACACAUGCAAGUCGAGGGGCAGCACAGUGUAGCAAUACACGGGUGGCGACCGGCGCACGGGUGCGUAACGCGUAUCCAACCUUCCCGUUACUCAGGGAUAGCCUUCCGAAAGGGAGAUUAAUACCUGAUGGUAUUCAAAUUCCGCAUGUUAUUUGAACUAAAGAUUUAUCGGUAACGGAUGGGGAUGCGUGACAUUAGAUAGUAGGCGGGGUAACGGCCCACCUAGUCUACGAUGUCUAGGGGUUCUGAGAGGAAGGUCCCCCACACUGGAACUGAGACACGGUCCAGACUCCUACGGGAGGCAGCAGUGAGGAAUAUUGGUCAAUGGUCGGAAGACUGAACCAGCCAAGUAGCGUGAAGGAUGAAGGUUCUAUGGAUUGUAAACUUCUUUUAUACGGGAAUAAAACCUCCCACGUGUGGGAGCUUGUAUGUACCGUAUGAAUAAGCAUCGGCUAACUCCGUG
rnacentral:rRNA from 1 species